rnacentral:rRNA from 1 species
AGAACGAACGCUGGCGGCAUGCCUAACACAUGCAAGUCGAACGCUUCCGGGGCUUCGGUCGCGGAGGAGUGGCGCACGGGUGAGUAGCGCGUGGGAACCUGCCCUGUUGUGGGGGAUAACCGAGGGAAACUUCGGCUAAUACCGCAUACGCCCCGGGACUUGGUCUUCGGAUUAGGUCUGGGGGGAAAGAUUGAUCGCAGCAGGAGGGGCCCGCGUCGGAUUAGCUGGUUGGUGGGGUAACGGCUCACCAAGGCGAUGAUCCGUAGCUGGUCUGAGAGGAUGAUCAGCCACACUGGGACUGAGACACGGCCCAGACUCCUACGGGAGGCAGCAGUGGGGAAUAUUGCGCAAUGGGGGAAACCCUGACGCAGCAACGCCGCGUGGAGGAUGAAGCCCCUUGGGGUGUAAACUCCUUUCGAUCGGGACGAUUAUGACGGUACCGGAUGAAGAAGCACCGGCUAACUCUGUGCCAGCAGCCGC